UACAGAGGUCUCAAGCGUUGUUCGGAUUCAUUGGGCGUAAAGGGUGCGUAGGUGGCUUUGUAAGUCAGUGGUGAAAUCUCGGAGCUUAACUCCGAAACUGCCAUUGAUACUGCUUAGCUUGAAUCAGGUAGAGGUGGAUGGAAUAUUACAUGUAGCGGUGAAAUGCUUAGAUAUGUAAUAGAACACCGAUUGCGAAGGCAGUUCACUAUGCCUGCAUUGACACUGAGGCACGAAAGCGUGGGGAUCAAACAGG
rnacentral:rRNA from 1 species